GCCAGGAAGGAGGAGGCAACCAGAGAGGCCUCCACUGUUCUCUGCAGCAGAAGACCCCCUGCUGCCAGGUGAGGGGAGUCACUCCCUGUCCCUCGCCACUACCACACAGCAAUAGUAAUGAUAUUUGGAAGAUGGAGUUCUUCACCUUUAAGCCUACUAGCACAGACGGAGUGCAGCCUGCUUGUCGGCUGCCAAGUUCCUGCUGGCUGGUUGCCAGCCUCCCAGACUGCUGAGUCGAUCCACCUGCUGCCUGUCCUGGGAGCUGCUCGUGAGAGGUGUGGCUUCUGGGGCUUGCAAGCUUAAAAGCAAGGAGGCUCGCCAAAGGUGUAAC